GGGUCGUUAGCUCAGUCGGUAGAGCAGCGGACUUUUAAUCCGUUGGUCCCGCGUUCGAAUCGCGGGCGACCCACCA
rnacentral:tRNA from 1 species